rnacentral:lncRNA from 1 species
GGCGAUCCCCGCCCCGCCCCUCCCUCCGGCUCCCGACGGAGGCUCCGCCCCCAGCCCGAGACUUGGCGCCGUCCGACCCGGGAGCGAGCGCCCCUUUGCACCCUUCUCCAAGGAUGGCCCCGCGGGGCUCUGCAGGGACGAGUUUCGGUGUCUGCAGCCUUCCCUUUCCCAUAACGUGCGCGUAGAAAGCUUUCUGUGGAACGUUACCUCUGAGGCCAGUUGCCAAAACCCAACCAUAAGGGUGUCAUCCCAUGGACCAUAUCUUAGAGGUUUUUACUUACAAGUGAGAACAAGAAUGAAUGCAUUAAAAAGUGAUUUUGUCCAGAUAACUUCAGGAUAUAGAAAGCCAUUUACUUUGUCUACCAAGAGGACCCAAUUCUGCAUCUCCAGCUGCAACUGAUCUGUAAGAUUUGGAAGACUCCCAGGAGUGUUGACCGGGGUAUCUGGGAUUAAUGGUUGACCCCCAUUACACAUCCAGAACCCUACUCCCCCAUCUACUUCUCAGAUUUGGCCUUCAGCCAAAGAGCUCCUCAUUGCAAAGUUUAAGAAUGUGACAUAUACAAACAUGAUCACAGAAUGCAUUCCAUAUGCUGGCUUUUGGGUCACACAGAAUGGAGAUGUUAAGAAUAUGUUAAUAUGGUUGCUUUUAAGACAACUUUGUAUUGUGGUUUUUGCUUUCCUAAAUGCCUGAAGUCUUUCUUAUUGUGCCAAAUUUAGCAAGAAAUCUAGAAAAUGAAAGGCAGUAGUGGAACUAAAAUAUUCAAAUUUUAACUCAUAUAAUAUACCAUUGAGUUUCACAUAUUAUAAAAACUUAAUAUGAUUCAGAUAAGUCUGGUAGUGUCAAAACCUUCAAAUCCAUAAAAUACAGUACGUAGUAAGUAACUCAGAUGUUUAUUAAGCAUCUACUAUAUACAAAGCUCCAUUCUAUGUAUUUUGUAAGAACUACAAAGGGAAUAUUAUAUUGAUUCAGGCCUUCAAGGAGUGUACAGUUGAACUGGGUAUAAAGGAGAGGAAUAAUGCUCAUAUAAGCCUGUAGUGAAUGCAAGGAUUAGAGCUCUCUUAUUAUAUAUGAGAGAAGGAAAAGUCUGAGUACUUCUUUUAAGCUGUUUUACUGUCACAAAGGUGAGGUAUAUUUUAAAAAUAUGGUACAUUUUGCCAUGGAUUCCUUGCUAUAUUUGUGUAUGUAUGUGUGUGCCUUCUUAGUAUUUGUUUCUGUGAUUUGAUUAUAAUGUGUAUAGUUACAUAUUUUUAAAACUCUAAUCUUUGAAUGUAUUGAUCUUUCAGAUAAGAUAAUUUGAAUGUUUUGGCAGUAACAGAAAAUUUUUAGCCAUUUUCAAUUUGAAUAUUGCCUCUUCUCCAUUCUCUUUAUUGCAACCCUCAUAAAACCUGGUUGUGAUUUG